CUGGGGACAAGAAUAUCCAACCAAGCUCACACCUCCACUCUAAAGCAGACACACCCAGGAGUGCACUUCAUCAAUUACUUGGAAGCAAUAAUAGGACAAUUUUCCCGUGGGUGAAAUGACAGGCUUCCCUGAGAAAAGGAAAUAGGACCCAUUGAUUUAUAAAUGUAUUCAUAAAGCAGAGCUGGAGAAGUCAUGGAAAAGCAAGUUGCAAUCCUCUGGAAAAUACAAUAAACUGAACACCACGGAGCACGAAACAAGUGAAAGAGUGACAGAGAAAAUAGCAGACAGCAUCCAGAAGGACUUAUAAGGCAGGGAGAAGACUAAAGGAGACAAAAUUGAUAAGGACUCCAAAGAAGGUGAAAGUUCCUUGUGAGGGCUGCCCCGAAGGGAUCGCUGAACAGCAGAAGAAGCUGCUGCCGGUACGUGUCCUGUAUACAAGGUGCUGUCUGGAGACGAAGACCACAAGAAACAGGAAUGCAUCCUUUCUGGAGGUUUUACUUAGCACUUAGCAAAAAAGACAACCAUUUUUUUUAAAUAUUAGGAUCUU